GGAGGACCGAGGCCCAGAGGGAGCGGCUGACAGUUCCCGGAAGUGGCCACGGCGCCUGCGCGGCGCGGCGGCGCGGGCUGUCGGCGCACGCGCGCCCCGGGGCGCGCGCGCUGCGGGGAAGGGUCGGGCGGCUUCUAAGGAGUUUGCGUCCAGAGACCGCUGGGAGCUGGUGGCGGGGCAGCGUAGACCUCUUGGUGCUUUCCUCGCAAAAUGUCCUGAGACUCGAGGACCGAAGCGCGGAGCCUUGGCGCUUUCUCAAGUGCUUUGGUCACGGAAUGAAUUCCUGAGAAUUGGGACCUUUUGAGCCAAACGAACGGACAAAUCCCUACUUUUUUUUCCUCCCUCUGUGAGGAGGCCUCUUCAGAGCCCGCCCUCCCUCUGUGGAGGUCUCUCCAAGGAACGUUCUCUACCCUUCUUGGGUCAGAAUCGUUCCCUGCUCCCGAGCUGGCGCCACAGGACCCAGGAGUUGGGGGAGUUCAGCCGUCCCCCAAACUCAGGAAGACAGUGACCUGAACCCCUCUUUCCACCAGACUGGCUGCCCUUGAAGUCAGAAAUUAUGGACCAGCUCUCCUGUCCCUGGGGUGAUUGACCCGGAAACUUGUCAGGUAUGGGAAGAUACACAGAUGUGGAAAUGAUUGUCAUGAAGAAGGAAGUUUAUUCACUCAGAGACCUGUCCCUGGAAGCAGAAGCCCCUGAACCCCCUCCUGUCAUCUGAGGACUGAUUUCUGGAGCCAGAGGAUGCCAAGGGUUUCCAGCUCUGCCCUGAAGCUGCGGGGAGGGCAAGCUCACCCUGGAGGUGGGUCCUGAUGGCGUUGAUUUCCACCUGGUUCUGCUCCAGCUGCGCCACUUUCGCGUCGGCCUCUGCCAGCUGUCC
ensembl:lncRNA